GACGAACGCUGGCGGCGCGCCUAAUACAUGCAAGUCGAACGCUGAAGGAGGAGCUUGCUCUUCUGGAUGAGUUGCGAACGGGUGAGUAACGCGUAGGUAACCUGCCUGGUAGCGGGGGAUAACUAUUGGAAACGAUAGCUAAUACCGCAUAAGAGUAGAUGUUGCAUGACAUUUACUUAAAAGGUGCAAUUGCAUCACUACCAGAUGGACCUGCGUUGUAUUAGCUAGUUGGUGGGGUAACGGCUUACCAAGGCGACGAUACAUAGCCGACCUGAGAGGGUGAUCGGCCACACUGGGACUGAGACACGGCCCAGACUCCUACGGGAGGCAGCAGUAGGGAAUCUUCGGCAAUGGACGGAAGUCUGACCGAGCAACGCCGCGUGAGUGAAGAAGGGUUUCGGAUCGUAAAGCUCUGUUGUAAGAGAAGAACGAGUGUGAGAGUGGAAAGUUCACACUGUGACGGUAGCUUACCAGAAAGGGACGGCUAACUACGUG
rnacentral:rRNA from 1 species